GAUUUCUACCUAUGGCAUGAAGGCUUCAGAAUGAAAUAGGUUUGCUGAUUUUUGUAGUUUUUAGGUUUUUCAUUAUUUUUGUACACUUUUGGUCUUUUCAAUAUGUUCAUAUAGCACAAGUUUAUAAUUGCAUAUAUUAAAUUUGCAUAAAAUGACUUCAAUAUAGUUUGCUUUCAGGGUUUACUGGAGGCUUUUUGCUUUCGAAAACCAGAUUAUGAAAAUCAUGUUUUCUCUGUGGAGACUGGGCAAUGGGCCGGGUUUCAGUUUUGAUAGCCUCCUGUUACAGGUCUCCUUGACAUUCCCUUGGGCUAGUUCUUAUCAUUUGGCUGCUACUUCUUCCAUCAUAAUUAUCUUCUAAGGGUGGUUGGAGAGUUUGAGUCCCUACAGACCAGUACAAACCUUACAUCGGAAAACGCAGAGCUGAGGUGUGACCUUGGUGAGUUUAUCCAGUGACUGAAAUUCUCCCCAGCUGUGAUUUAUGAUCUGUUUAUAUACAGUCUGCCAGACCAUACUGCCAUAAAGCCUUCAAGAUUCCCAGAACCUUGGACUUUGCAUCCUUCUUCGGAUAGGAUUCUAAUUCUAGUGCCCCUACCUCAUUUUAGAAGUAACAGAAGAGAAGACACAGUCAAAUUCAAGCUUCAAAGGGGAGGUGUGGGCAUUAAUAUUGAAAAUAAUUGGACACAUGCUUGGCUAGUCAGAUGGAGUUUUUCCUCUGCCCUAUUUAUUUUGUACCACCAACACCCUAGAUAGAAGUUUCCCUGCAUGGGGAAUGGAGUGAAGAGAAUUCACAGGCGAGUGAGAGAACUGGAUUGUUCAGAAAUAGUAAGCCUGUACAAUUUUAUCAAGAAUUUACAGUCUAAACUGAAUUCUUAAAAGGUAUAAUGCUACUAGAAUCCUACAGCAUGCUCUGUGACCCAUAUUUCCUGCAGAAUGAUAUUUCAGUUAAUUCUACGGAGAAAUGUCUUUUAAAGCUCUUAUAUGAAAUGAUACAGUUCUCAUAUCACAAAUUUAAAUGUUCAAGAAAUGUAAUUUCUCAUCUUAUCCAGAGUUUUAUCUAAAUGUCUAAAAUGUAGAGAAUGCCAGGCCAGAGUAAAGUUGAGGAAUUUAGGAGCAGGGAAUAGGUGAAGAGGAACUGGGAAGAGGCUAAAAUGAAGCAUUUAGGCCUCCUCAUUCCUUUCUAAUCUCAAAGUGUCAGUCCAGAGUUUGUGGCUCCAUACUCCUUAUCUUGGCUGUAAGAUAACUCCUGGACUAGCUUCUCCCAGCUGCAUAUGAAUGUCUAAAUGCUUAGGACUGUGUCAAGAUUGAUGCUUACCCACAUUUUUUCCAAGAAUGGAGGAGUGAUCAACUAAGCAAACAUUUGGUUAAUGAUUAAGCUAAUACCUUGGUAAAUAAAUAUGGUAAAUAAGUAUCUGGAAGAAACAUAGAAAAUGUCCUCCUCACCCAGGAUAAAGGAU
ensembl:lncRNA novel transcript, antisense to CSMD3